GAUAAGCAAUUCUGAGAGUCAUAAGGAAGAACGCGCUUUCUGCGUUAAACAUCCAAACAACAAAAACAUUGUCAGCGUUCGACACAUUUCAUUUUGUUCAGCAAAAAUAAAUGUCCACGUAUUCAGGGAUUCAUGACAAAAAGGGAAUGGUUACUAAUUUCUAAAACGUCUGUUUGGUAUAAAAUGUGAGAUGUAGGAUGACACCACCUAAGCAGAUCGCUGCACUCAUGCGAAUGAGCUUGUCUCCCAUUCAUGGAGUCUGGGUCAAGCUUUGAGCUCGCCAGUGGAAAGUCUGCAUCAUUAAUGAGACCUCAUUAAAAAUUGAUGGAAAGAAGAGAAGGGGGUCAAGGACAAGAACACGAAGAAACAGAAGCAGAGUAAAGAAAGUGCCUCUAAUGCAGGAUUGUUGCACUGCAAGAUGACUUAAGGAAUGCAGGCAGCAGUGAAAGAUGUGUGCAUGCUAAUUUUAUAACCGUCUCCAAAUGAUAACUAAUCUCUAGUAAUUUAUAUACUGUUCAGCUGAACUAGUAGCCUGCGUGGUUUUGAUCUUUAGCUUUCUGGGAAAUUCUUAAAAUGUUAUAAAUAUAUCAAUUUGUUUUGCCUGUAAGCAGAUGAAGCUACUGAAACUACAAUAGGUUAAACCCAGAUGCGAUCAUGUGUCAAUAUGAGUAAAUCAGACGUCAACUUAUCACAAAAUGUAAAAAAAGAAACCAAAAAAGUGGUGACUUAACUUAAUGUCACAAUAAAAAAUAAAAACAUCAAACAGCUGUACUCGUUACUCAUUUUUUGAAUCUUUGGUGGUCAAAGGGAAACUGCAGCUUGAAGAGGUAUUAAUUAAUCAGCUGCUUGAACCUCCACUUUUCUGCAAAAACUGGCAUUUGUGAUUGGCCAUAAAUUAUAUAUAAUCAGACUCUCAGUAAAAUCUUAUUUCCUUCUUCAAAUAGCUGGAGAUGCCACUCAUUAUCCAGGGUCUAUAUUUGUUAUGAACUCAAAGCAGACAAAUGUCACACUUUCUUCUGUUUUAUAAAUCAAACCAGUAUCACAAAUCGCAUGUUUCCACCUAGUAUGGUGCAGCCUUGUUAAUUACAAGGAAACUACAUUUCUGAUGAAAUAUUGAUGCACAUCUUCAGUUCAUUCCAGAUGCGAGAGCAAGAUUUCAGCAGAUAACAGGAAGGCUGAAUGAAAAGAGCGCAGCAAAGUUGCUCUUUUGGACUCAAAUAUUGGAGUUUGAAUACUGAAGACAGUUUAAAACAUAAAUUCAUUUUGUCUGUUUUAAAUGAGUAAGACCCUGUUGUGCUUAGAUCUGAGUCGAAAAUUGUCUGCAAUACUUUGCUCAGCCUAUGCUCAUUUAUGAUUCAACAUUCACUUUUUCCACUCAGCAUGAAAACUCUGUCACAUAACCAGCUCCACUCCCAGAUCUCACACACUAAGUGUGACCUCAUCACGCCCUGGCUUUACUGGCUUUGGAUGUUGCUACUGGAUUGGCUGAGUUACAGUUCUACCUGAUGAUUUUUGACGCUCGACUCAGCCAAUCAGACGUGAGGGAUUGGCAGCCAGGCCUGCAGGUUAUUUACACGAUGCCAAACCAUUGCAACAUACAGAGCAAUUCUGCAGAAAUGCUGCAGAUGAACAUUGCACCAGUGCACUUUAAAUCUACAGAUAUAUUCUGUAAAUGAUAAAAUCUAGAUAUACAGGUACACAAUGUGAGAUGAGCAGAGAAUAUGGAGGAUGUUGUGUGGGGAAGAAGAGGACCGACAGAGGGCAAACUUGACCAGACUACAGAGUCUGAAUAUGGAGGGGCUUUGUUGAGAGAAAAAAAAAACCUAAUCUGUCGUUUCAUCGUAAAGUCAUGAGGUAACUGAGAACUAAAGUAAAUCCUCUUAUCCUCACACACACAUCCCUGCAUCACUUUCUGCUCCUCUCAAAAUAAAGGAGCCCUUUGCUGCCAGAGACAGCAUCUCCAUAUAAACAGCAGCUUAAGAGGAAGUCGAAUAUUUUAGCCCUGAUCAAGUCAAACAAAGGAUUUGUGUAGGUUCGAAGAAGAUAAAUCCCAGGCUUCAGUGAUUUGAGAGGCAAAACAUCUGCCGAAAGUGAAAGAAAGACGACCAGGCGGAGAGCGGCGCUGCUGCAGCACGGCUGGCGGCUUUAUGACACCAGUUGGAGGGCAGAGAGAGAGAGAGAGUUACAUAACAACCGUCUAUGCAAUGCGCAGGAACAGGUCUACUGAAAAACAAGCGCUUGGAUGACAACAAACAGAAAAAGUUCAGCAAAAAUGACAGCUAUGUUCAAAACAAACUGAUCAUCGAGGUCUAAUGAUAAAGUUUAAAUAUUCAUUUUGUGGACAAGAAUGAUCGAGCAUCAGGUAGAAUAAUCAUGAAGCUCGCAUUUUUUCAGCACAGACAUGCAUCAUUUUGACUUUGAUUCACUUAUUUUCUUUUCUAAAGAUUGUAACUCAUUUUAGAUAAAAAGGUUUGUUUGUUAUUGUGGUUUUGAAAUCUACAGAAAUUGUCCAUGUUUGUGCAUCCAAACGUGUCCCCUAACCCAAGUUAAUUAAAUCAAAAAGUAAAUCAAAUAUAUUAUUAAAAAAAGUACAAAAAAUAGUAAUUCUGAUCUCUUAUGCACCUCUCAGUUAAAACACUGUAAAUACAAACAUAUUUUGCUUUAUUUCAUUGAACUGUCCAGCACUUUAGUCAACAUCUGUUUUGCUACAUAAAUAAAUUGUCAGACAUUUUAGCUGUUCAUCUAAAAACGGUUAAAUCCUGAGUCUUAUAAACCUUUAAUACACACAGAUUAAACUCAUUGCUUGGAUAUAAAGAAAAACAAAACAUUCCUUGCUCUUAUAUGGAAAGUAAAACAAACAAUGAGUCUUACCCAACAGGUUUUUUGCAGCUGAAUGAAUCAUAACAAAUAUAAAAGCCCCAAAUUAGCAUUCCCGUCAUGAAUAACAAAUGCUUCAAUGCCAUGUGGAUGACCUCUUCUUCCUGCAUCCUUCCAGUCUUCACACCUCCCACUGUCAAUCAGUCUCCCUUUUAUACAUAUUUCCAGGUGUGUGUUUAGGUGUGGUCACAUGUUGCUGGAGCAGGUGAAAAUUUCACACUACUAAAAUGCAAUGAUAUCUAAAUGAAAAACCUCAUGGUUUAUUGCUUAGAUUAUAAAUGCCUUUUGCUGAAUAUACUUGUCAUGUUACAUGAAAAAAAGAUUGUUUCUUAAUUGUUGUUGUGUUUGGAGCUAAAAUUAAGCAUAAAGUGAUUAAAAUAUAAUUAAACACACACACAUUUUUUAUUAUUAAACUGCAAAAACGAAUUUCCAUUUUAAAACGGAAGAAAUUUGACUACCAAAGUUGUUUUAGAGACAAAACAUGUAAACAGAAAACAACUGCAUCAUAGUUUUGUUUCUGUUUUCCCUGUUUAAUGAUUUCCUGAGAAAUCAUAAAACAGGAAGAAUAAAGAGAAGCUGAAAUACAAAAAGUAAACCGCAUCCGACAUGAUUUUCACAUUUUUGGUGUCUUAUCUAUUUUCACUUGUAUUUUUAAAGAUGUUUCAUGGAUGGAGGAGUUAAAAGCAGUCAAGAAUUGGCUCUCUGUGUUGGUGUAAUACAGCAGAACCCAUGGCUGAAAGCUUGAUACUAGAUAAUGUGUAAAAGUUCCCCUCUGGUCUAAAUAUAAACAUCCUCCACAAACAUCCCACUGCAUCCAGAGAGAAUCUUCACACCAACACUUUGCACUUAUGUAAAUAAAUUAACAUUCACAACUCUCGCCCACAGGCUGAAAACCUAAACUGUUUGGCUUCACUUCACUCCUCAAACUUUAAAUUCUUCAGACAACUGAAGCAAAAGCAGAUUAUUUCUUUAGUAAUUGUGGAAAUUAAAGACAUAUUACUAAUCGAAACACUCACAAUUAUGAUAAUUCAUCUCCAAAAUAAGCUGAAAAAGGGCUUCACUGCUUGGCUGCACAGACAUAUUGCUAUCUGGCACCCAGCAGAUUCAGAGUGCAUGACCCAUCACUGUGAUCUGGGCCUAACUCGGCUGUGUAGUCAGAGAAAAAACGGCUCUCAACAUAGCAACGAUUCGAGUCUAUUUGCAGCAGGCGUCCAGACAGAGUCAGAAAUACACUGUGACUCAUCGCCUGUGGCGCACACAGAGGCUGCAGAUGACAGAAUCAGUCUGAAAUAUAAAAUAAACUAUUAAGAUUAUUGACCAAGGUAUAAGUCUGAGUGGUCUGUAUAGGCCAGCUCAACAUGCCAGGUUAUGGAUCUUCAAGUUCACACGCCUAACUAAUGGAAAAUACAGAUAACUUGAUACUCAUGUGAAUGAAGUUUGUUUAAAAGGAGCUCAAUUAAAUAAUUCAGCAGUCAUGCAGGCUCUGCAGGAUGAUUCACUGAGCUAGAUUACCUCAAUUGUUCUGAGUUGGUGUGUGUAAAGGUGCCGCAGAAUAUAUUUGCUGCAUUUUCCUCAACAUGUGCAGGCAAAAGAUGCCUGAGUGGGACAGAUUAGCACAGCCAGACUGUUGGCAAUAUUUAUGCAAUAAAAGCAAACACCAUGAUUAAACUUUAAUAUUGUGCCAUGUUAUUUCACAAACACAAAUACGAACAGCCAACCAUCAUGGAGUCAAAGGAAUUUUGAAGAUGAAACAAAUAAAAAGAUUUCCCACCUUUGAAAAUUCUUUAUUUUUUUGCAAAAGCCAGUUAUUGCUCUGCAGAUCCUCAGGUUUUAAUGUUAUUUUCUCAGUGUUUCCUGCAGAAGACUUCAUGGAUCUGAUGUAUGACUCAUUCAAAAUGUUUUGCCUAUCUUCUUUGCCUUAAUGUUGGAUGACGAGGCAAAAAUCCCUCACCAAAUAUCUAAAACUAAGCUUCUCCAUCUACACGUUAUGGACCAAGGGGUAACCUAGAUAACAUGUAAGGACAUGUUAUCAUUUACAUCCCUUUAGCAGGGAGGUGGGGGUGUGACAUCACACUGAAAUGGGUCCAUAAUCCUGUUUGUUUGUCGGAGGUUUGCCUCCGACAAACAAACAGGGUGGCAGAGCGAUAGCGCCUUGGAAUCAUGUCAAGAUUGGUUUGGGUCGCUCAUUUGAAAAGACCUUAAAAUUGAGAGCAAAAAGUAAAUGUGUCAAGCACAAAAUCACGUUUCAUUUUUGUUCUGAAUCUUUGUGGCAAAACUCUAAAACAGGGUGUUGUUUUAAAAUAUUAUGCCAUGUUAAUCUCAUAUUGAUCCAUUCCUAGAUCACUUUUAUAAUCCCAUAACACAACUUUUUCCACCUGUUAAGGCUUGCAUAGCACCUGGGAAUCUCCUAAAGGAAGUUUUUUUUAUUAAUCUAGCAUGGCUUCAGCUCUUCACUUAUCCUGUUUCAGUGCAUGGCCAACCCAGCAAACUGAAUGUCAAUCUUUGCUGUUCACAGCUAACUUUAAGACGCCUUACCUUGAUCCACAAACAUUACUUUUGUUUGCAUUUUAUUCAGGUGUUCCAAGGUGGGGAAGAUGGCAAGCAACUAAACUAAGUGACACAUCUACGAAAUAAACACCCUGACAACAGGUGUGCCUGCUUCUUAAAAAGGUUAAUUCACUCUGACUCAGCGGCUGUCGUCCCGGGUGAUGCUUCUGCCCAGACAAGCUUAGUUUGACACAAAACUCAUGUAACAAGAUCCACUGAGAAAGUUAUCAACGUUGAUCUCAAUGCUUUCUGGUUUUUGUCCAGUUUCUGACAUUUAAUCUAGACGUAUAAUAUAAUUUAGGAUUUCUCAUCUAAUACUUGAGCUAAAUUAAAUUCUCACUGUAAUUAUAUCAAGACAAAUUAAACUGAAGCUAUAAAACGCAGCUCGGAGAAAGCUGUAUUUGAGAAAACGGUGAGUAUAAACUUUUAAUUAAAGUCUAAAACUCGAGAGUUAUGUUUUGUUUGGAUGGUUUAAAAUUCAAACAGGACCUCAGAGAGGAAAAAGGAUGGAAGACAGGCAGAGGUUUCAGAGUAAAAACAAGCAGAGCAAAGAAGAGAUAGAUGUGGCUGGAAUGACAAGAGAUGCAGAUGAGAGUGUAAGAUGAUGAGUGCAGGAGGAACGGUGCAGGAGUCCAGCAGAAGAUCAGAUAUCCGAGACCAUGGAAGAAGAGGACAUAUAACACCAGCCUGGCACACACUGAGCCGGACAACCUGAAACGUUUUGGCUUUCCGCAUGUGUGCAGAUGGAAAAGGGACAAGAAAGUGAGCAGCAACCCAUCUCUGCGAAAAUGUGUUGUCUAAUUUUAACAGUAGUAUAGUUUAUUGUUUAUGGUCAAAAAUAAAGUGUAUUUUGUCCAGCUAACAUUGUUCAGCAAUAAGAUACCACAACUUUGAGAAAAAGAUCAAAUGUUCUGCACAUUUUUAAAGCAAACCUGAUUUCAAGAGCACAUUUUCUCUGCCUCAUGAUUUAAAUCUGAAUAUCUGGUGUGCUGUCUCUGCAGAAUUAUUACAAAUCCCAACAAAAUAAAAA